ACGAACGCUGGCGGCGUGCUUCACACCUGCACGUCGAACGGAAAGGCCUGCUUUCCCUUGUGGAUUGCGGGUACUCGAGUGGCGAACGGGUGAGUAACACGUGAGUGAUCUGCCCCCAACUUGGGUAUAAGCCUGGGAAACUGGGUCUAAUUCCCGAUAGGACUGCAGGGUGGUGCCUGUGGUGGAAAACGAUUUUCUAGUGGUUGGGGAUGAGCUCGCGGCCUAUCAGCUUGUUGGUGGGGUAAUGGCCUACCAAGGCGGCGACGGGUAGCCGGCCUGAGAGGGUGGACGGCCACAUUGGGACUGAGAUACGGCCCAGACUCCUACGGGAGGCAGCAGUGGGGAAUAUUGCACAAUGGGCGGAAGCCUGAUGCAGCGACGCCGCGUGGGGGAUGACGGCCUUCGGGUUGUAAACUCCUUUCGACCGCGAGGAAGCCACCUGGUUGGAAGGGUGGUGACGGUAGUGGUAGAAGAAGCACCGGCUAACUACGUG
rnacentral:rRNA from 1 species